AUAUUGGCUACCAUGUGUCUCUAAAUUUAUUUUUAAAGUUCAUAUAUAAUGUAUUUGCUUCUGUUUUUGCUUGUGAGUUGUAGUCUGUAGACCAUAUAUCAGUUGGUACGGUGUUGUGUUGCCCAUAUCAUAGGCAGCAUCAUUCAUGAAUCAUGAUAGAAAUGUUGAUUAUCCUGGGAAAAUUGCACAUCUCCGACUAGUUCACACCUCAAAGUUGAACCUCGCCAUUAUAAAAACAAGAAAGUGCACAGUAUGCAGUAAUUUGCAAAGUUGAAAAAGAAUAUCAGCAUGUAGAAGGGGGCGAAUCAUGUAAAUCUGAGACAAAAUUCUCCCAAUCCCCGAACCCUAGAUCAUGGCUUUUCUCCAGAAUCGAGACCCUAACUUCACUAAGGAUUAUGGCUUGGGGAUGAUUUACCUCGGUUGAUGUCGCCGCUGGGUGUCCGUUCGUGCGGCCUUGCCGGACGGGCCAUCUGGCGAGCACAGGCGAGCUCUCACGCACGAGCUGCCAGCCUGCCACAGUGCCGCCGCCGCCACGCACCGAGGCGCCGAUGCCGCGCGCGCAUCAGGGCGCAUCUGCUGACGCUGCGCACGCGCAUCAGGGCGACGCCGCAGCUGCCACCACCGCGGAGCCGCAUCGCGCCGUGCUGCACCAGGCCAUCACGCCGCUUCCGCUGCGUGCGCCACCCUGAAGACCUCCCGAGCGCAGCCUUCACCGGCACCGGAGAGGAGCCGCUCGGCAGAGCCGCGCGCGGCUUCGGCCGCACGCGCGCUCCGGCGAGUGGGCCCACGCCGGCACCGUCGCCUCCACCCUGCACCCGUGCUCUAGCUGAUUCCCAGCAGCCGUCGGAAAGGGCUCAGGAGAGAAUGUGCUAGGAUUUCUUCCACAAGCGUCGGAUGGUCAUGUACGGUACGGUGGAUAUCAUGCGGGGCCAUAAGUGGGCUGGCG
rnacentral:lncRNA from 1 species